UGAUGGGGGCUAAAUUAGCUGUUCCCACUCAAGAAAGAGAUCUUGCAUCUAGGAGUCAUUUUGGAUAGUUCUUAGAAAACAUCCACUCGAUGUGCUGCGGCAGUCCAAAAAGCGAACUGAAAGUUGGGAAUCAUUAAGAAAGGGAGAGAUAAUAAAACAGAAAAUAUCAUAUUGCCCCUCUAGGUAAAUCCAUGGUACACCCACAUCUUGAAUACUGUGUGCACUUAUUGCUGCCAUGUCUCUAAAAAGAGAUAUUGGAAUUGGAAAAGGUUCAGAAAAGGGCAACAGAAAUGAGUAGGGGUCUGGAACAGCUUCCGUAUGAGGAGAGAUUAAUAAAACUGGGACUUUUCAACUUGG